rnacentral:rRNA from 1 species
GACAGAGGCCUCGAGCGUUAGGCGGAAUCACUGGGCUUAAAGCGUGUGUAGGCGGGAGCGUAAGUACCUUGUGAAAUCCCACGGCUCAACCGUGGAACGGCUGGGUAUACUGCGCUUCUUGGGCCAACUAGGGGCAGCCGGAACAAGCGGUGGAGCGGUGAAAUGCGUAGAUAUCGCUUGGAACGCCGAAGGUGAAAACAGGCUGCUGGGGUUGCGCCGACGCGUGAGACACGGAAAGCCCAGGGGAGCAAACGGG